CUGCCGAUAUUGUUACUAUGUGGCUCAACCCAGCCACAUUUCUGCUAGGCACUACCCUCAGCUCUCUGGGCACUCCAGUCAUCCCCAGUGCUCUGCCUGGAUGCCAAUUUCCUUUGCCACACUGAUGGACUCCCCAGAGUAGUCCCAAGCCAGGGCAGUCAGGUGAAUGAGACGUGUGGUCAGAUGUCAAGUAAGAGCAUCAGGCAUCACUAUCAGGCCCUUCUAAGGUAAGCAAGUCAGGAAACCAAGUUGGAAGGUGAAUCUUCAUAAAGGGGAACUUCCA
rnacentral:lncRNA from 10 species